rnacentral:rRNA from 1 species
CGGGUGCACUGAUCCGGCCGGGCCUUUCCCUCUGCGGAACCCCAUGGCCUUCACUGGCUGUGCGGGGGAAGCAGGACUUUUACUGUGAAAAAAUUAGAGUGCUCCAGGCAGGCCUAUGCUCGAAUACAUUAGCAUGGAAUAAUAGAAUGGGACGCGUGGUUCUAUUUUGUUGGUUUCUAGGACCGCCGUAAUGAUUAAUAGGGACAGUCGGGGGCAUCAGUAUUCAAUUGUCAGAGGUGAAAUUCUUGGAUCUAUUGAAGACUAACUACUGCGAAAGCAUUUGCCAAGGAUGUUUUCAUUGAUAAGGAACGAAAGUUAGGGGAUCGAAGACGAUCAGAUACCGUCGUAGUCUUAACUAUAAACUAUGCCGACUAGGGAUCGGACGAUGUUAUUCUUUGACGCGUUCGGCACCUUUCGAGAAAUCAAAGUGCUUGGGCUCCAGGGGGAGUAUGGUCGCAAGGCUGAAACUUAAAGAAAUUGACGGAAGGGCACCACCAGGGGUGGAACCUGCGGCUUAAUUUGACUCAACACGGGGAAACUCACCAGGUCCAGACACAGUGAGGAUUGACAGAUUGAGAGCUCUUUCUUGAUUCUGUGGGUGGUGGUGCAUGGCCGUUCUUAGUUGGUGGAGUGAUUUGUCUGCUUAAUUGCGAUAACGAACGAGACCUUAACCUGCUAAAUAGCCCGUACUGCUCUGGCAGUUCGCCGGCUUCUUAGAGGGACUAUCGG